AAAGUGCGAUAAGCAAUGCGAAUUGCAGAAUUCCGCGAAUCAUCAGAUCCUUGAACGCAACUGGCGCUGAAGGGCUCUCCCUCCAGCAUGUCUGUUUCAGUGUCUGAAAACUUCCAACAAGCUUAGUGUGGUUGACGAGAGGAGGGAGGCUUAAAAAACUCCCUUCUCAAGUCUCCCAUUAAAGAUGUACGUGUGGGUCUUUGAACCCCUCAUCGAAUUGGUCACUGCAGAGUGAUUUCGAUAGGGCAGCUCAAUUACCCGUACACACGUAGUUCUCUAAAAAACCCCAAUCUCUGCAUCUGAAAUCAGGCAAGAACACCCGCUGAACUUAA
rnacentral:misc_RNA from 1 species